rnacentral:tRNA from 1 species
UCCCUGGAGGACUAGUGGGUAGGCCACAGCACUCUCCCUGCUGUGGCCCGGGUUCAAUUCCCGGCCAGGAAA